rnacentral:rRNA from 1 species
ACACGUAGGGGCCUGACGUUGUUCGGAAUCAUUGGGCGUAAAGGGCGCGCAGGCGGCCGUCCAAGUCCGGUGUUAAAUGGUCGGGCUCAACCCGAUCAUGCGCUGGAAACUGGGCGGCUUGAGUCCCGUAGGGGAUGCCGGAAUUCCAGGUGUAGGGGUGAAAUCGGUAGAUAUCUUGAAGAACACCGAUGGCGAAGGCAGGCAUCUGGGCGGGGACUGACGGUGAGGCGCGAAGGCGCGGGGAGCGAACAGGUUUAGAUUCCCUGGUAGUCCGCGCAGGAAACGAUGCGCACCAGGUGGCGGGCGGCAGCGCCCGGUACCGGAGCUAACGCGAUGAGUGCGCCGCCUGGGGAGUAUGCCCGCAAGGGUGAAACUCAAAGGAAUUGACGGGG